rnacentral:rRNA from 1 species
AUUGAACGCUGGCGGCAGGCUUAACACAUGCAAGUCGAGCGGAGAGAAGUAGCUUGCUACUGAUCUUAGCGGCGGACGGGUGAGUAAUGCUUAGGAAUCUGCCUAUUAGUGGGGGACAACAUUUCGAAAGGAAUGCUAAUACCGCAUACGUACUACGGGAGAAAGCAGGGGAUCUUCGGACCUUGCGCUAAUAGAUGAGCCUAGGUCGGAGUAGCUAGUUGGUGGGGUAAAGGCAUACCAAGGCGACGAUCUGUAGCGGGUCUGAGAGGAUGAUCCGCCACACUGGGACUGAGACACGGCCCAGACUCCUACGGGAGGCAGCAGUGGGGAAUAUUGGACAAUGGGCGGAAGCCUGAUCCAGCCAUGCCGCGUGUGUGAAGAAGGCCUUAUGGUUGUAAAGCACUUUAAGCGAGGAGGAGGCUACUUUAGUUAAUACCUAGAGAUAGUGGACGUUACUCGCAGAAUAAGCACCGGCUAACUCUGUGCCAGCCGCCGCCGUAAAAC